GCAGUCGAGCGGUAACAGGAAGUAGCUUGCUACUUCGCUGACGAGCGGCGGACGGGUGAGUAAUGCCUAGGAAAUUGCCCUGAUGUGGGGGAUAACCAUUGGAAACGAUGGCUAAUACCGCAUAAUGCCUUCGGGCCAAAGAGGGGGACCUUCGGGCCUCUCGCGUCAGGAUAUGCCUAGGUGGGAUUAGCUAGUUGGUGAGGUAAUGGCUCACCAAGGCGACGAUCCCUAGCUGGUCUGAGAGGAUGAUCAGCCACACUGGAACUGAGACACGGUCCAGACUCCUACGGGAGGCAGCAGUGGGGAAUAUUGCACAAUGGGCGCAAGCCUGAUGCAGCCAUGCCGCGUGUAUGAAGAAGGCCUUCGGGUUGUAAAGUACUUUCAGUCGUGAGGAAGGUGGUGUUGUUAAUAGCAACAUCAUUUGACGUUAGCGACAGAAGAAGCACCGGCUAACUCCGUGCCAGCAGCCGCGGUAAU
rnacentral:rRNA from 1 species